AGACAAAGGGAGAUAGAGUCUAUGGGGAAUGUUUAUUUUUCUUUUAACAGAAAAUUAUUUGGAAGCUCCUAGUAUUUCCAAUGUUUCUUAUAUUAAUUGUUCCAUCAUUUUUCAGUCAUGUCUGACUCUUUAUGACCCCAUUUAGGGUUUUCUUGGCAAAGAUACUAGAGCGGUUUGCUAAUCUCAUUUCAAGCUCAUUUUACAGAUAAGGAACUGAAGCAAAGAAAGUUAAGUGCCCAGGGCCAUAUAGCUAGUAAAUGUCUAUGAGGCCAGAAUUGAACUCAGGAAGCUGAAUCUUCUAGAGUAUAAGCCUGGCACUGAAAGAAUUAGACAAUAUCUUUUGGUGAAAGAAAUGAAUAAUUUUGAGGAAUAUUGAAUAUUGGAAAUGUUUCAGUAUUGAUAAUAGUAAAGUGUUGGAUAGCAAAUUUUUGCCAUUGACAUAUUAAGAAUCCUGUAUUGUUGUUGGUUGUCUCUUGAACCGAAGAUGACGAUUGUCUUUGUGCGUUUUUGUGCACAAAGACACUUGUGCACGAAGAUAUAAGUGGAAAAGUCGAUGCACAGAGACAGUCCCACUCUCUUGGCGUUGGAAGCCUGGGUCCAGUGGCAUGAAAAGUUGUUACACCUGGAGACUUCCUCAGCUGCAUUGGAUGGCCGUGUUGCCCAUUGUGCUCCAUCAUGCCCUAAACACUCCACAGUGCUUUGCUGCGUCGCCAUCUCAGCCGUUGAACCUUCUUGUUGGUUUCUUCCGCCUGUUCCGCCGAAGCAGUCUUCACAUGCUGGAUAUGAAAACUUGAAGAAAUAAAUUUCUUGGAGGAAUUAAGUGAAAAGGGUCAAGAGAAAUUGCCUGAACCCAGGUCUUCCUGACUCUAAGAAUAACUAUCUACUACUGCAGAUGACUCUCAAAGAGAUUCACAAGUGGGAAUCCACUUAUAAAAUAGGUUAACUUAGCUUUAAAGUUUAAGCUACUUCACACUUAAAGAAGGAGAAUUAUUAACCUGUCAUUUUUCUCAACCCUAAAAAAGGGGUUUU
rnacentral:lncRNA from 1 species